rfam:Leeuwenhoekiella marinoflava DSM 3653 genome assembly, contig: EJ63DRAFT_scaffold00024.24
CCAAAAGAGGAAAGAUUUGACUGAUUGCAACCUCUUAUGUCGAUUUAUUUCGAUGUAAAAAAUGCUAAAGGCAGUAAA